AAAUUGAAGAGUUUGAUCAUGGCUCAGAUUGAACGCUGGCGGCAGGCCUAACACAUGCAAGUCGAACGGUAACAGGAAGCAGCUUGCUGCUUUGCUGACGAGUGGCGGACGGGUGAGUAAUGUCUGGGAAACUGCCUGAUGGAGGGGGAUAACUACUGGAAACGGUGGCUAAUACCGCAUAAUGUCGCAAGACCAAAGAGGGGGACCUUCGGGCCUCUUGCCAUCAGAUGUGCCCAGAUGGGAUUAGCUUGUUGGUGAGGUAACGGCUCACCAAGGCGACGAU
rnacentral:rRNA from 1 species